rnacentral:lncRNA from 1 species
UACGUUUGAUCUUUAUAGAUGAAACGGAAAGCGGGGAAGAAGGGGGGGGGGGCUAAUUUAUUCUAAGAUAAACAGGCUGUAAUCUUUAUUUCUGAUGAAAAAUGCAGGAUAUGCCAUUCCAUCCCCCAUCCCCCUUAAAAAAAUACGUUUGUUGCCAAAUUCAUGAAUUUAAUAUUCAGUGGUUUGGGGGAGGGGGGGUCCCGGGGGUUGGAACAACCUUGUUUUGGAUGAUCAAUGCAUUUAAAUGGGGACAUAAAGUUGGACCCUUCCCCCCCCCUGUUUUGUCCUGGAUUUGGACCUGGAUCCGCC